CUCAGUGAAGCUUUAGGGGCCAUGAAGUUGAGACCCGUGACCUGAUGAGAGAGUGAAGGCAGCACUUUGUCCUCAUCCACAUCACUGCAUUUAUCUCAGCACCAUGUCCACAUCUUCUGCCAACAUUGACAUCAAGGACACCAGUCAUAUUGGAUAUUAGGACUACACUCAUGAUGUCAUUUUAACCUGAUCAUCUGCAAAGACCCUAUUUCCAAGAUGCCUCUUUUCUAUCUUCCCCCUCAGUGGAUGCCUUGGUUUCCUAUUUCCCUAAGAAGAUAGGAACAAUCAGAAGACAGCCCCCAUGGCCGCUCACCAACGCACCCACCUGUCUCCCAGCCUCUGUGACCCCGGGCUCUGCCUCCUCACCUGCCACGAGGGAGACCAGCCCCAUCCCUGACACAGCCCCUUCUCCAGGGGGUGCACUGAGUGCCUGCCCCUUUGUCUACUCGACAGACACUUCUCCCUUCUCUUUCCUUCACAGUCAGCAUUUUCCUCUUUAUGGGGUCUUUCUUACCAAUAUGGCCCAAUCUUAAACAAAAUAUGUUUUGCUCCAAUGUCAUCUCCAGCUGAGACCCUUGUCUGUUUCUCUUCACACAGCCUCCCUGGAAUAAAUGUUUGCAUUCUC